AUACGGAGGGUGCAAGCGUUAUUCGGAAUCACGGGGCGUAAAGGGUGCGUAGGCGGUUUGAUAAGUCUGAUGUGAAAUCCUAUGGCUCAACCAUAGAACUGCAUUGGAAACUGUCAGACUAGAAUACUGAAGGGGCGGAUGGAAUUAGUGGUGUAGGGGUAAAAUCCGUAGAUAUCAGUAGGGAUACCGAAAGCGAAAGCGAUCUGCUGGGAAGUUAUUGACGCUGAGGCACGAAAGCGUGGGGAGCAAACGGGAUUAGAAACCCCAGUAGUCC
rnacentral:rRNA from 1 species